rnacentral:rRNA from 1 species
AAGUCGAACGCGGUUAUCCAGCAAUGGAUAACUGAGUGGCGAACGGGUGAGUAACACGUGGGUGACCUACCUUCGAGUGGGGGAUAACGUCCCGAAAGGGACGCUAAUACCGCAUAACAUCCUGCCUUUGAACAGGCGGAGAUCAAAGCCGGGGAUCGCAAGACCUGGCGUUUGAAGAGGGGCCCGCGUCCGAUUAGCUAGUUGGUGAGGUAACGGCCCACCAAGGCGACGAUCGGUAACCGGCCUGAGAGGGCGGACGGUCACACUGGGACGGAGACACGGCCCAGACUCCUACGGGAGGCAGCAGUGGGGAAUUGUUCGCAAUGGGCGCAAGCCUGACGACGCAACGCCGCGUGGAGGAUGAAGGUCUUCGGAUUGUAAACUCCUGUUGCCCGGGACGAAAAGCUUCAACCUAAUACGUUGAAGUCUGACGGUACCGGGUGAGGAAGCCCCGGCUAACUCUGUGCCAGCAGCCGCGGUAAUACAGAGGGGGCAAGCGUUGUUCGGAAUUACUGGGCGUAAAGGGCGCGUAGGCGGCCUGUUAAGUCGAACGUGAAAUCCCCGGGCUCAACCCGGGAACUGCGUCCGAUACUGGCAGGCUCGAAUCCGGGAGAGGGAUGUGGAAUUCCAGGUGUAGCGGUGAAAUGCGUAGAUAUCUGGAGGAACACCGGUGGCGAAGGCGGCAUCCUGGACCGGUAUUGACGCUGAGGCGCGAAAGCCAGGGGAGCAAACGGGAUUAGAUACCCCGGUAGUCCUGGCC